rnacentral:rRNA from 1 species
GAUGAACGCUGGCGGCGUGCUUAACACAUGCAAGUCGAACGGAAAGGCUCCUGCUUGCAGGGGUACUCGAGUGGCGAACGGGUGAGUAACACGUGGGUGAUCUGCCCUGCACUUCGGGAUAAGCCUGGGAAACUGGGUCUAAUACCGGAUAGGACGAUGGUUUGGAUGCCAUUGUGGAAAGUUUUUCGGUGUGGGAUGAGCUCGCGGCCUAUCAGCUUGUUGGUGGGGUAAUGGCCUACCAAGGCGUCGACGGGUAGCCGGCCUGAGAGGGUGUACGGCCACAUUGGGACUGAGAUACGGCCCAGACUCCUACGGGAGGCAGCAGUGGGGAAUAUUCCACAAUGGGCGCAAGCCUGAUGCAGCGACGCCGCGUGGGGGAUGACGGCCUUCGGGUUGUAAACUCCUUUCGCUAGGGACGAAGCGCAAGUGACGGUACCUGGAGAAGAAGCACCGGCUAACUACGUG